CGCAUUCCCGUUUUUGAUUGAAGGUGCUUGCACCUGAUUGAUAAAACAUCGGAAUGAGUGGCGGACGGGUGAGUAACACGUGGGUAACCUGCCCAGAAGUGGGGGAUAACAUUUGGAAACAGAUGCUAAUACCGCAUAAUAGAUAGAACCACAUGGUUCUAUUUUGAAAGAUGGCCUUUGUGCUAUCACUUCUGGAUGGACCCGCGGUGUAUUAGCUAGUUGGUAAGGUAACGGCUUACCAAGGCAAUGAUACAUAGCCGAACUGAGAGGUUGAUCGGCCACAAUGGGACUGAGACACGGCCCAUACUCCUACGGGAGGCAAGCAGUAGGGAAUCUUCCACAAUGGGCGCAAGCCUGAUGGAGCAACACCGCGUGAGUGAAGAAGGGUUUCGGCUCGUAAAACUCUGUUGUUAAAGAAGAACGUAUCUAAGAAGUAACUGCUUAAGUAGUGACGGUAUUUAACCAGAAAGCCACGGCUAACUACNGUGCCAGCAGCCCGCGGUAAUACGUAGGUGGCAAGCGUUAUCCGGAUUUAUUGGGCCGUAAAGCGAGCGCAGCCGGNUUUUCUAAAGUCUGAUGUGAAACCCUUCGGCCUAACCCGAAGAAGUGCAUCGGAAA
rnacentral:rRNA from 1 species